UACGUAGGGUGCAAGCGUUGUCCGGAAUUAUUGGGCGUAAAGAGCUCGUAGGCGGUCUGUCGCAUCGGCUGUGAAAACUCGGGGCUCAACUCCGAGCUUGCAGUCGAUACGGGCAGGCUAGAGUUCGGCAGGGGGAGACUGGAAUUCCUGGUGUAGCGGUGAAAUGCGCAGAUAUCAGGAGGAACACCGGUGGCGAAGGCGGGUCUCUGGGCCGAUACUGACGCUGAGGAGCGAAAGCGUGGGGAGCGAACAGG
rnacentral:rRNA from 1 species